rnacentral:rRNA from 1 species
AGCCGCCGCGGUAAUACCAGCACCCCGAGUGGUCGGGACGAUUAUUGGGCCUAAAGCAUCCGUAGCCGGUUCUGCAAGUCUUCCGUUAAAUCCACCUGCUUAACAGUUGGGCUGCGGGGGAUACUACAGCGCUAGGAGGCGGGAGAGGCAAGCGGUACUCAUUGGGUAGGGGUAAAAUCCACUGAUCCAUUGAAGACCACCAGUGGCGAAGGCGGCUUGCCAGAACGCGCUCGACGGUGAGGGAUGAAAGCUGGGGGAGCAAACCGGAUUAGAUACCCGGGUAGUCCCAGCUGUAAACGAUGCAGACUCGGUGAUGGGCUGGCUUAGUGCCAACCCGGUGCCGCAGGGAAGCCGUUAAGUUUGCCGCCUGGGGAGUACGGUCGCAAGACUGAAACUUAA